rnacentral:rRNA from 1 species
GACGAACGCUGGCGGCGUGCUUAACACAUGCGAGUCGAACGGAAAGGCCCUGCUUUUGUGGGGUGCUCGAGUGGCGAACGGGUGAGUAACACGUGAGUAACCUGCCCUUGACUUUGGGAUAACUUCAGGAAACUGGGGCUAAUACCGGAUAGGAGCUCCUGCUGCAUGGUGGGGGUUGGAAAGUUUCGGCGGUUGGGGAUGGACUCGCGGCUUAUCAGCUUGUUGGUGGGGUAGUGGCUUACCAAGGCUGUGACGGGUAGCCGGCCUGAGAGGGUGGCCGGCCACAAUGGGACUGAGGGACGGCGCAGACGCCUACGGGAGGCAGCAGUGGGGAAUAUUGCACAAUGGGCGGAAGCCUGAUGCAGCAACGCCGCGUGCGGGAUGACGGCCUUCGGGUUGUAAACCGCUUUCGCCUGUGACGAAGCGUGAGCGACGGUAAUGGGUAAAGAAGCACCGGCUAACUACGUG